rnacentral:rRNA from 1 species
AGACCCGAAACCCGGUGAUCUAGCCAUGGGCAGGUUGAAGGUUGGGUAACACUAACUGGAGGACCGAACCGACUAAUGUUGAAAAAUUAGCGGAUGACCUGUGGCUGGGGGUGAAAGGCCAAUCAAACCGGGAGAUAGCUGGUUCUCCCCGAAAGCUAUUUAGGUAGCGCCUCGUGAAUUCAUCUCCGGGGGUAGAGCACUGUUUCGGCUAGGGGGCCAUCCCGGCUUACCAACCCGAUGCAAACUGCGAAUACCGGAGAAUGUUAUCACGGGAGACACACGGCGGGUGCUAACGUCCGUCGUGAAGAGGGAAACAACCCAGACCGCCAGCUAAGGUCCCAAAGUCAUGGUUAAGUGGGAAACGAUGUGGGAAGGCCCAGACAGCCAGGAUGUUGGCUUAGAAGCAGCCAUCAUUUAAAGAAAGCGUAAUAGCUCACUGGUCGAGUCGGCCUGCGCGGAAGAUGUAACGGGGCUAAACCAUGCACCGAAGCUGCGGCAGCGACGCUGAUGCGUUGUUGGGUAGGGGAGCGUUCUGUAAGCCUGCGAAGGUGACCUG